CUUGAUGGCACAACUCCGAUACACCAAGGACUAGCCCCAUGGUGCGGCCACGACAUCACUGCUCCCCUACACCGCCGACUACAACCUGAGAUCUUAGAACAGGUUUGCAGGUUCAUUGGAACAAAUGUUCAAAAGGAAGAUGCACAGUAAGAAUUACAGUAAGAAGUUCAACUACGAGCCCAGACAUGAGGUAUUUUAACCGCCAACAGAGGGUGUGUUGCGCUAAAAAUUAGUAAUCUUCGCUCCAAAUUCUUAGGUCACUGGCCCAGAUGAAGUAUGCGUUAUGUACAGUCCUCCAGAAUUCAGAAAUUGAUCUAUAAUUCUGUGAAGAGAAGGUUUUCAAACCCAAAGGAGCAUUGGCAACCUUAGGGACUUGGGCGCCAACGUGUAGUCCCAGCAGAAGUUGCUCACCCGGAAGGUGGUCUUCUCCAAGGCCUCCCUAGCCUUUGAACAAGACCGCUCCAUCAAGGGUAAACCAUUGAGUGGCAAUGAUACAUGUGUGUCCAUACGACAUAGUGAUUAGCAGCAUGAGGUGCUGAGCACAUCGCGUGUGUGUCUGUAUGUGUGCGCUGAUAUGUGGUUCAUGAGGAACAAACUGAUUAAGCAUGCUCCAAAGCUACGAGCGACUGAACUAGGUAUCUUUUCUAUUUUCAUGGUGAAGCCUGGUUUUAACUGCUAAAGAAUAGCAGGAGAUGGAAUCAUUGAAAUAUAAUCAAUUCUUAAGUAAAUGAACUGAGACUUGAUGGUUGUGUGUUAUUGGUACAAUAUGUAUUUUGGGCCUGAAUUGUGAAGCAAAUCGAGAAUUCCUGGUUACUUAUUA